rnacentral:rRNA from 1 species
GGCGCGCGCUGGCCUCGCGUUUCACAUGCGCUUCUCACAAGAACACGUUGUGUUUUUGUGGGAACGUAUAGUGGGGCACAGGUGCGUAUCUCGUAUAUAUCCUGUGCUCACGCGCGCGAGACUCUCGCGAAACCGCGUGUAAUACCGCGCGAUUUCUCUGGCCCCCAUGGGGGGUGGAUGAUACCUUGGUUUUGCCGCCGGGCCUUUGGAUGUGGUCUGCGUCUGAUUAGCUUGUUGGUGAGGUAACCGCUCACGAAAGUAUCGAUCCGUAGCUGGUCUGAGAGGACAAUCAGUCACACUGGGACUGAGACACCGCCCACACUCCUAAGGGAGGCAUCAGUGGGGAAUCUUGCAGAGUGGGGUCACCCCUGAUGCAUCCAUGCCGCGUGGAGAAACACACCCCUAUGGUGCGUACACUCUUUUUCUGAAAGAACAACCCCCUGUACGUUCAGGGUGUGACGGUAUCUCAUGAAUAAGCACCUGCUAACUCCGUGCCAGCAGCCGCGGUAAUACGGAGGGUGCUAGCGUUGUCCUGACUCACUGGGCGUAAAGGGUGCGCAGGCGGGGCAGCUAGUAUGAGGUGAAAGCCCGUGGCUCAACCGCGGAACCUCCUUCAAAACUGUUGCUCUUGAGUCCCGGAGAGGUUGCCGGAAUUCGUGGUGUAGCGGUGAAAUGCGUAGAUAUCACGAGGAACACCAGAGGCGAAAGCGGGCAACUGGACGGGUACUGACGCUCAGGCACGAAAGCGCGGGGAGCAAACAGGAUUAGAUACCCUGGUAGUCCGCGCCGUAAACGAUGAAUGCUCGCCGUUAUUCCGCUUAAGGAAUAGUGGCUAAGCUAACGCGUUAAGCAUUCCGCCUGGGGAGUACGAUCGCAAGGUUGAAACUCAAAGGAAUUGACGGGGGCCCGCACAAGCGGUGGAGCAUGUGGCUCAAUUCGAUGCAACGCGAAGGACCUUACCUAGGCUCGAACGCUAGGGGACCGCUCCUGAAAGGGAGCUUUCCGCAAGGACCCCUAGCGAGGUACUGCAUGGCUGUCGUCAGCUCGUGUCGUGAGAUGUUGGGUUAAGUCCCGCAACGAGCGUAACCCUUGUCGUUAGUUACCAGCGGGUAGUGCCGGGGACUCUAGCGAGACCGCCUGCGCAAGCAGUGAGGAAGGUGGGGAUGACGUCAAGUCAUCAUGGUCCUUACGCCUAGGGCUGCACACGUGCUACAAUGGUCGGGACAACGAGCAGCCACCUCGCGAGGGGGAGCGAAUCUCUCAAACCCGAUCGCAGUUUGGAUUGGAGUCUGCAACUCGACUCCAUGAAGCCGGAAUCGCUAGUAAUCGCGGAUCAGCAAUGCCGCGGUGAAUUCGUUCCCGGGCCUUGUACACACCGCCCGUCAAGCCAUGGAAGCUGAGAGCACCCGAAGUCCGUGACUCAACUCCGGCGUUCAGCCGGAGGGAGAGCGGCCGAAGGUGAGCUCAGUGACUGGGGCU